rnacentral:rRNA from 1 species
AUUGAACGCUGGCGGCAUGCCUUACACAUGCAAGUCGAACGGCAGCACGGGAGCAAUCCUGGUGGCGAGUGGCGAACGGGUGAGUAAAGUAUCGGAACGUGCCCAGUCGUGGGGGAUAACGUAGCGAAAGUUACGCUAAUACCGCAUACGAUCUAUGGAUGAAAGCGGGGGAUCGCAAGACCUCGCGCGAUUGGAGCGGCCGAUAUCAGAUUAGGUAGUUGGUGGGGUAAAGGCUCACCAAGCCGACGAUCUGUAGCUGGUCUGAGAGGACGACCAGCCACACUGGGACUGAGACACGGCCCAGACUCCUACGGGAGGCAGCAGUGGGGAAUUUUGGACAAUGGGCGAAAGCCUGAUCCAGCCAUGCCGCGUGCGGGAUGAAGGCCUUCGGGUUGCAAACUGCUUUUGUACGGAACGAAAAGGUUUGGCCUAAUAAGCUGAGCUCAUGACGGUACCGUAAGAAUAAGCACCGGCUAACUACGUGCCAGCCGCCGCAGUAA